rnacentral:rRNA from 1 species
GCAUUAUACAGCGCAAACUCGCGAAUGGCUCAUUAUAUAAGUUAUCGUUUAUUUGAUAGUACCUUACUACUUGGAUAACCGUGGUAAUUCUAGAGCUAAUACAUGCUAAAAAUCCCGACUUCGGAAGGGAUGUAUUUAUUAGAUUAAAAACCAAUGCCCUCUGGGCUCCUUGGUGAUUCAUGAUAACUCUUCGAAUCGCACGGCCUUGCGCCGGCGAUGGUUCAUUCAAAUUUCUUCCCUAUCAACUUUCGAUGUUUGGGUAUUGGCCAAACAUGGUUGCAACGGGUAACGGAGGGUUAGGGCUCGACCCCGGAGAAGGAGCCUGAGAAACGGCUACUACAUCCAAGGAAGGCAGCAGGCGCGCAAAUUACCCAAUCCCGAUUCGGGGAGGUAGUGACAAUAAAUACUGAUACAGGGCUCUUUUGGGUCUUGUAAUUGGAAUGAGUACAAUUUAAAUCCCUUAACGAGGAACAAUUGGAGGGCAAGUCUGGUGCCAGCAGCCGCGGUAAUUCCAGCUCCAAUAGCGUAUAUUAAAGUUGUUGUGGUUAAAAAGCUCGUAGUUGAACCUUGGGCCUGGCUGGCCGGUCCGCCUCACCGCGUGCACUGGUCCGGCCGGGCCUUUCCCUCUGUGGAACCCCAUGCCCUUCACUGGGCGUGGCGGGGAAACAGGACGUUUACUUUGAAAAAAUUAGAGUGCUCCAGGCAGGCCUAUGCUCGAAUACAUUAGCAUGGAAUAAUGAAAUAGGACGCGUGGUUCUAUUUUGUUGGUUUCUAGGACCGCCGUAAUGAUUAAUAGGGACAGUCGGGGGCAUCAGUAUUCAAUUGUCAGAGGUGAAAUUCUUGGAUUUAUUGAAGACUAACUACUGCGAAAGCAUUUGCCAAGGAUGUUUUCAUUAAUCAGGAACGAAAGUUAGGGGAUCGAAGACGAUCAGAUACCGUCGUAGUCUUAACCAUAAACUAUGCCGACUAGGGAUCGGACGAUGUUAUUUUUUGACGCGUUCGGCACCUUACGAGAAAUCAAAGUGCUUGGGCUCCAGGGGGAGUAUGGUCGCAAGGCUGAAACUUAAAGGA